AGCGGGUCUCGCACCUCGCCGUGCAUUACAGGAUCCACACGGGGGAGAAACCCUACGUGUGCCAGGCCUGUGGGAAGGCCUUCAGCCACGGCUCCCAGCUGACUCAGCAUCAGGUUGUUCACACCGAGGAGAAGCCCUAUGACUGUAAGGAAGGGGGGAGGACUUUCGAUCGUGGUCCUGCUACUCUUCGACGUCGGAGAAGGCAAAGUAGAGAAACACAGAAAGACGAAGACUAUAACAAGCCAGAAUGCCUUCAUUCAGAGCUGUCCUUCCUCCCGACUCAUAAAUUUCAUACUGAAGAACAUUUUUUAUGGGUAUAAAUUGUUUAGACCGUGAUUAUCAAUGAAGCAGGGAAAUUUUGGAAAACGUUUUGUCUCUCAUACAUUCUUGAUUCACCUUUUCUAACUACCCACGUAGUAAUUUUAACAUUAGCCAAAGGUUUAAAUUGUCUUGGAAAUUGAAAAGAAAAAAAAAA